rnacentral:rRNA from 1 species
AUUGAACGCUGGCGGCAGGCCUAACACAUGCAAGUCGAGCGGACGGAGGAAGCUUGCUCCUGGAUUAAGCGGCGGACGGGUGAGUGAUGCCUAGGAGUCUGCCUUGUCGUGGGGGCUGACGUCCGGAAACGGGCGCUGAUACAGCAUACGUCCUGAGGGUGAAAGGGGGGGAUCUUCGGACCUCGCGCUAUCAGAUGAGCCUAGGGCGGAUUAGCUAGUUGGUGGGGUAAAGGCCUACCAAGGCGACGAUCCGUAACUGGUCUGAGAGGCUGAUCAGCCACACUGGAACUGAGACACGGUCCAGACUCCUACGGGAGGCAGCAGUGGGGAAUAUUGGGCAAUGGGCGAAAGCCUGACCCAGCCACGCCGCGUGUGUGAAGAAGGUCUUCGGAUCGUAAAGCUCUUUUAGUUGGGAGGAAGGACAGUAAGUGAAUACCUGCCUGUUUUGACGGUACCAACAGAAUAAGCACCGGCUAACUUCGUG